CCAAGAAUGAGUUGAGUAAAUUCAGGGUUUCAAAAAUAGUUGAAUAGGAUCUGGCAUCUGCCGAUUUACCUCGGAAUUGGUCGGGGUUGAUCCCGAUUUCUGCCGUUUUGGAUUCGACAUAUUCACGCCAAGAUUCUCCUACGUCGGUGGGUCAGAUCAAAUAGCCGAUUUUAGGGUUUUGGGAACAGGGACUGAGUUUGACCCAUUCCAAUCGGAAUCGACGGGGAGCGGCCGGGGAUCGAUUCAGUCACCGAUUCCUGUUUUCAAAACUCAUAUUGAGUUCCUUUGCCCGUAAUAUCCAUCUAUCAAAUUCGAUCUUCUUUUCUGCAAAAAGAAACCAAACGAUGAGUUAAAGGUCGUCCCUUCUCUUCACCGACUCCGAGGCCUUGUGGUCGUUGAAUCUAGCGAUCGAGAGCUUUCUAUUCUACAAGGUAUUAUUUUGGCAUCUCAUUUUGGAAGACUACUUUUGAAGCAAGAUGGAAGAAUCAAAUCAUUGAUUUGACCUUGGCUUCUCUCCAUCUAGUGUCAUGGCAUCUUUGUUCAUCUCAUGUAUAGGGACUUCAUUGUUUACAGAAGAAGAAUCAAGCUUUUAUCCUUAAAGUUUCGUGUAGAAUUUUUAAAAGAGCCAAACUCACUACUUGUCAGGGUAUUUGAUGCUAAAUACUUCCAUACUGCAGAUAUCUUCAGCACUUCCUAGUACUUGCAACUUUCUUUGUUCCAGGGUGAACUUUGAACUUGUAAGCAUAGUUAUCAAGGCAAGAAGGCAAUGGAGGAUGGUCAAAAAUCAAGGUAACGCCUUGUCGACUAGGCGCUGGCGACGCCUUGAUAACUUUUUUUAGCACCAUCAAGUUUUUGAUUAUCGGUGGCUUCUUCCUUACCCACUGCAUGAUUUAGUUCCUUGCAAGAUCCACUAAAUCUCAAUGUCCAGGUUGCCGAGGUAGGUGAUAUCAUUCAACCUUAUACCCCACAGCGACUGGCUCUAGUUCUAUCAUCAGAGAUGGCCAUUGGCUGAGGUCUUUCUUUCUCAGACUUUUAUGGUUCCUACUUGAAGGCCAGGAGGAGCCAAAAGAUGUUGAAGCAUGAGGCAGCUGAUAUGAACUGAGUUUGGGGACGAGCUUAUCAAUAUGCGUCUUUUUGUUUCGCGUCUGCUCUGCCAUGGCAGAUACAGGUGGUUUCUUCCUCAACUCCCCCACCACAACCGCCACCCCAAAAAAAAAAAAUAGGUUGAACAUAUGUUGAUCUUUAUUUACCCUCCAUGGGCCUGAAGGAUAUGGAUGACAUUGUGUAGCCACUUUUUGAAGAUUUUGGUGGCUACAUGUCAAAAUUCGUAGCAGAAAUUAGUGCCAUUUGCGAAGGGCUUCAUUUGCAUGGUUAUUGGGACUGCAAGUCUCCCUGCGGAGGAUGGACUGCAGGGUGGAGCUUCAGUUGGUCCAGGCCGGUGGUGCUCUCAUGAGCAACACCAGAUGCAGAAAAGUAUCAAAGCUGGGUUUUCUGCUUCCUUUUUGGUGUGGUAUUUUGAUAUACGUCUACUUGAACGUCAGCCACUAGUUGCUGCUGAUAGAAUGAGUCCUGGUGCCUGUAGAAAUGUACUUCUGUGAUCUAUAACUUUGCAACAUUCCAGUUUCUGUCCAAAAACAGUUGCUGUUUGAUGUAUGGAUCCUAUAGUUUUCUUUUAUUUUUCUUCUUGGUUUCUGGAAUUGGAGAGAGUCUGUCUCUCUCUCUCUAAAAUUAUUUUUAUAGUAGCAAACCUUAAUUAUCUUA